UUUCUUUGGACCCCCACGCCAAGGCUGACUUGGCUAUGUGGGGGAAGUUUUUGAAAGACUGGAAUGGCAUCUCCAUGUUUAUCCCCCCUCUCUCCACCUCUUCACCCAUCAUCCACACGGACGCAGCAGCCAACACCGGUUUCGCAGCCAUUUUCGGGAACCACUGGUUUAGGGGCCACUGGCCCACUGAGACGGAUGCCUUGCC